rnacentral:rRNA from 1 species
GAUGAACGCUGGCGGCGUGCCUAAUACAUGCAAGUCGAGCGAACGGACGAGAAGCUUGCUUCUCUUAUGUUAGCGGCGGACGGGUGAGUAACACGUGGAUAACCUACCUAUAAGACUGGGAUAACUUCGGGAAACCGGAGCUAAUACCGGAUAAUAUUUUGAACCGCAUGGUUCAAAAGUGAAAGACGGUCUUGCUGUCACUUAUAGAUGGAUCCGCGCUGCAUUAGCUAGUUGGUAAGGUAACGGCUUACCAAGGCAACGAUGCAUAGCCGACCUGAGAGGGUGAUCGGCCACACUGGAACUGAGACACGGUCCAGACUCCUACGGGAGGCAGCAGUAGGGAAUCUUCCGCAAUGGGCGAAAGCCUGACGGAGCAACGCCGCGUGAGUGAUGAAGGUCUUCGGAUCGUAAAACUCUGUUAUUAGGGAAGAACAUAUGUGUAAGUAACUGUGCACAUCUUGACGGUACCUAAUCAGAAAGCCACGACUAACUACGUG